CAUGUGGUCUUUAUAACAAUUCAGCAAGAAACAUGUAAUGAUAUCCAUUUUAUAGAAGAGGAAACAAGUUCAGAGAGGCAGAGUGAUUCGCCCCUAAAUUCCAAAGUGGCCGAGGUGGGCUUGAGCCCAGCUUCUCUACUGUCUCAGCUAGUCCCCCAUCUAACUGGGGCAGGUGGGAUAAGGCAGUGGGGGCCAGACAGUGACCGAUGUUUCAGAGGAGACCUUGACUUAACAGGCCACCCGAUGCCAAAGAAUGGCUCCUAUGGACUCCAGCUUCUGGAACACACCGAAUGACCGCCUGCCUGAGGCCAGAGGGAUUCACACACAUGCCUCACCCCACUAGAAGCAGGCCUGGGGUCUAACUUCCAGUAUGUGUGGGAGUUGGUGAGCCCAGCGCAGGCCCCACCCCAAGGCGACAGGCUCGGAGCUCCAUCGGCCCUCGGAACCGAGCUCUGUGACCCAUGGGGUAACCGUGGCAACGAUUAGCCAAGCCCAGAUGGAGCCACUUUGGGCCACUCUGAACUUGGAAACCACGUUGGGGACAGGGAGCUCCCCUGCAUGGAGACAUCAGUCCAUCCAGGGCUCAGCAAACUAAGGAGGCGGCUACCUCUACGAUUUGAUUAAAGUUGGAGAGAUUAUGAAGUAUUGCUGACUUCUAGAUCUUUCCCUCCCUAUGGUUAUUUUGCCCGGAUUCCCACUUAGGCCUUUAGCCUCCCUGCUAUAUUGCUGGACUCCCUAGAAAGAAAAUGGCUGCCAUUUGCAACGAGCGUCAAAACAUGAAUUAACUUCUGCCAGGGGAUGGUAGAAGGGUAGGGCAGCAUCACAGGACAGGCUCCACCACUUGCUGAGCUAUGACCACAUCCCGACGGGAAGGCAAGCGUGGGAACCAGAGUGCAGGGUGCAGCUUCAAGGCUGGCAUCUCGUUCAUGCACAGGGCCCUGUCUACGCCAGAAGUGCUCAUGUGAUCGGAGAGCCUAAGUGCCGACUGAAAAGGGAAGUGAGUCGAUUUGGGGCCUCCCCCAUUCUCUGGCCCCAUUUUCCGCAACGGGGCUAGGAGCCGGGAUUCAGGCUGUCGAGCCUACCAACCCCAUCACUUAGUCCUCGCUACAAUGGAGUAUUCCCAUCCCCCACCUAAGGAUAAGGAACUGAGGCUGAGGGGGUUGGAUGACUUCUCCAAGGUCAUACAACUAGAGAGAGGCACAGCUCGGACUUGAACUGGGGUGGUCUGACAUCAGCCCUUGCUCUCCCGCCCACCAUGCUCGGGUGUCCUCGCCCUCCACGGCCAUCUCUUCACUUGACAAAGGGGGGUGCUGAGGCCCAGAGAGGCCAAGAAAGCUCCCCGAGGUCACACGGUCGAUUGGUUGCAGAACGAGACUGGGGAACAGAAAAGAAUGGCUUUUUGCUGCAUGCUUGGGAGAAGCCUACAGGAGUAAGUGUGAGGGGUGGGGAGGAAAAUGGGAGCAGAACGAGGGGUGAGGGGUUCCACCUUGUGGAUGAGGAGCCCUGACAGGAGUGAGGGGGCUGAGGAGGAGAACCUGGAGACCCCCAGGAGGCCCCAGCAUCGAUGCAGCCCACCCUGGAGCCCAGCGACGGCGUGAAACACAACUCACUUCUUCUGCUUCUUCUCGAGCUCGUGACUCCGGCUUUGCUGGUCCUCCAGCUGGAGGCGGGUGUCCUCCAGGUCACAGGUCAGAUGGUGGCACUUCCUCUUUAGCUGGUGAGCCAUUUUCUUGGCCCCCUCAUAAGCGCUCUGCAGCUCCCCGAGCUGUGGGAGUGAGUCACAGAAUGAGCUACCCCUCUCCGCCCGCACUGGACAGGCUUUCCUCUUCUUCUUCCUUUUUAAUCACGACAGCGUUUUUAUUUAUUUAUUUUUAAUUUCAUUUUUUAUUUUUUAAAAUUUACAUCCAAAUUAGUUAGCAUCUAGUGCCACAAUGAUUUCAGGAGUAGAUUCCUUAGUGCCCCUUGCCCGUUUAGCCCAUCCCCCCUCCCACAACCCCUCCAGCAACCCUCAGUUUGUUCUCCAUAUGUAUGAGCCUCUUCUGUUUUGCCCCCCUCCCUGUUUUUAUAUUAUUUUUGUUUCCCUUCCCUUGUCUACUUCUUAUUUCAAGCAGCUGCCAUUUCUGAGGUGAGCACAGUGGGAAAGAGAACAGGUACUGGGGUCGGAGAGACCCUGUCGUGACCACUUUCUGCCUGUUUCCCAGGGAGGAAGCUACUUCUCUGACCCCGUCUGCUCAAGAGGUGCCCCAUAGAGUCUUUACAAGCCCUGUCGCCACAAGAAGACUGAGGACUGUAUACCUAAUAACCCCAUCAGCUGGCAUCAUCCCAGAGCUCAUGUGGGGAUUAGCCAUGGAGCAGCCAAAAUGGCGGCCGUAGAAGAUCUGGCCAGGAAAUCUGAGAGAUGGGCUCUGAAGGUUAGAGCAGUAAAUGGCCCUUCCGACGGGCUGAAUUACACGCGGAUACACAUGACCGUGAACAAACAGAAAAGCAAAGCCUCUUGCAUCUUUCUCGAGGAACCCCCCCACCAAAUGUCCUCGUUUGAAUCUGGGAGAGAGGACAACUCAGCACACUCGCUUUGAAGAAAUGGCCUCAUUAAAGAAUUUCUUUAAAUAAGCAAAACUCUGAGUUAAUGAAGCCUGUAAUUCUAAAUUCAGUAUUUGACGGCAA